UAACAAAGACUAUUGUCCGUUUAGUGCAAAGGAUUUGGAGGAGGAGUUUGAUCCUGAUGAGUAUGAUAAGAUGAUGGAGGCCGUAUUUGAUGAGAAGUAUUAUGAUGACGAAGAUGCUGAGUUAAAUAGUGAUAGUGAAAGAAUCAAAAAACCAGACUUCGAUAAGGAGGAUGAGUUGCUUGGACUUCCUAAAGGAUGGGAUGUGCUAGAGUCUCAUGAUGGUUUCUUGGCUGCAAGGGAGAGGAAUAAGAACAAGUUACAGAGUAGUGGCGAUAAUGAUUCAGGAGAGGAAGAAGAAAAAGGAGAGGAUGAUGUUGAAGAUGAAGAUGAAGAUGAAGAUGGAGAUGAAGAUGAAAAUGAAAAAGAAGAUGAUGGUGAUGGUGAUGACGAGGGCAAAGAACACGAAAGUGAUGAUAAUGAAGAAGAUGACGAGGAAAGUAAGG
rnacentral:lncRNA from 1 species